rnacentral:rRNA from 1 species
AACGCGAAGAACCUUACCUACCCUUGACAUCCGGCUGACCGGUGAGUAAUGUCACCUUUCCUUCGGGACAGCCGAGACAGGUGGUGCAUGGUUGUCGUCAGCUCGUGUCGUGAGAUGUUGGGUUAAGUCCCGCAACGAGCGCAACCCUUAUCUUUAGUAGCCAGCGGUAUGGCCGGGCACUCUAGAGAGACUGCCAGGGAUAACCUGGAGGAAGGUGGGGAUGACGUCAAAUCAUCAUGCCCCUUAUGGGUAGGGCUACACACGUGCUACAAUGGCGUAAACAAAGGGAGGCAGAGCCGCGAGGCCGAGCAAAUCUCAAAAAUAACGUCUCAGUUCGGAUUGUAGUCUGCAACUCGACUACAUGAAGCUGGAAUCGCUAAUAAUCGCGAAUCAGAAUGUCGCGGUGAAUACGUUCCCGGGUCUUGUACACACCG